UCGCCGAAUGGGGAGGGGCGAGCCCUGCAUCGCUUCAAGAGCGUGGGAAGUCUGUCGCACGUUCAAUGGUCGUGCUGGAUGACC
rnacentral:tRNA from 2 species